rnacentral:rRNA from 1 species
GAUGAACGCUAGCGGCAGGCCUAACACAUGCAAGUCGAGGGGCAGCACAUAAAGUGGUUUACUACUUUUGGUGGCGACCGGCGGACGGGUGCGUAACGCGUAUGCCACCUGCCUCUAACAGGGGUAUAACGGAGAGAAAUUUCCACUAAUACCCCAUACUAACAGAAUCGGCAUCGGUUUUGGCUGAAAAAUACGGUGGUUGGAGAAGGGCAUGCGUCGUAUUAGAUAGUUGGUGAGGUAACAGCUCACCAAGUCAACGAUACAUAGGGGGUCUGAGAGGUUAGCCCCCCACACUGGUACUGGGACACGGACCAGACUCCUACGGGAGGCAGCAGUAAGGAAUAUUGGUCAAUGGGGGCAACCCUGAACCAGCCAUGCCGCGUGCAGGAAGACGGCUCUAUGAGUUGUAAACUGCUUGUACAAGGGGAUAAAUCGGUGUACGUGUACACCGUUGAAGGUACCUUGGGAAUAAGGAUCGGCUAACUCCGUGCCAGCCGCCGCCGUAA